rnacentral:rRNA from 1 species
CGGGACACGUGGUAUCCUGUCUGAAUAUGGGGGGACCAUCCUCCAAGGCUAAAUACUCCUGACUGACCGAUAGUGAACCAGUACCGUGAGGGAAAGGCGAAAAGAACCCCGGCGAGGGGAGUGAAAAAGAACCUGAAACCGUGUACGUACAAGCAGUGGGAGCACGCUUAGGCGUGUGACUGCGUACCUUUUGUAUAAUGGGUCAGCGACUUAUAUUCUGUAGCAAGGUUAACCGAAUAGGGGAGCCGAAGGGAAACCGAGUCUUAACUGGGCGUUAAGUUGCAGGGUAUAGACCCGAAACCCGGUGAUCUAGCCAUGGGCAGGUUGAAGGUUGGGUAACACUAACUGGAGGACCGAACCGACUAAUGUUGAAAAAUUAGCGGAUGACUUGUGGCUGGGGGUGAAAGGCCAAUCAAACCGGGAGAUAGCUGGUUCUCCCCGAAAGCUAUUUAGGUAGCGCCUCGUGAAUUCAUCUCCGGGGGUAGAGCACUGUUUCGGCAAGGGGGUCAUCCCGACUUACCAACCCGAUGCAAACUGCGAAUACCGGAGAAUGUUAUCACGGGAGACACACGGCGGGUGCUAACGUCCGUCGUGAAGAGGGAAACAACCCAGACCGCCAGCUAAGGUCCCAAAGUCAUGGUUAAGUGGGAAACGAUGUGGGAAGGCCCAGACAGCCAGGAUGUUGGCUUAGAAGCAGCCAUCAUUUAAAGAAAGCGUAAUAGCUCACUGGUCGAGUCGGCCUGCGCGGAAGAUGUAACGGGGCUAAACCAUGCACCGAAGCUGCGGCAGCGACGCUUAUGCGUUGUUGGGUAGGGGAGCGUUCUGUAAGCCUGUGAAGGUGUGCUGUGAGGCAUGCUGGAGGUAUCAGAAGUGCGAAUGCUGACAUAAGUAACGAUAAAGCGGGUGAAAAGCCCGCUCGCCGGAAGACCAAGGGUUCCUGUCCAACGUUAAUCGGGGCAGGGUGAGUCGACCCCUAAGGCGAGGCCGAAAGGCGUAGUCGAUGGGAAACAGGUUAAUAUUCCUGUACUUGGUGUUACUGCGAAGGGGGGACGGAGAAGGCUAUGUUGGCCGGGCGACGGUUGUCCCGGUUUAAGCGUGUAGGCUGGUUUUCCAGGCAAAUCCGGAAAAUCAAGGCUGAGGCGUGAUGACGAGGCACUACGGUGCUGAAGCAACAAAUGCCCUGCUUCCAGGAAAAGCCUCUAAGCAUCAGGUAACAUCAAAUCGUACCCCAAACCGACACAGGUGGUCAGGUAGAGAAUACCAAGGCGCUUGAGAGAACUCGGGUGAAGGAACUAGGCAAAAUGGUGCCGUAACUUCGGGAGAAGGCACGCUGAUAUGUAGGUGAAGUCCCUCGCGGAUGGAGCUGAAAUCAGUCGAAGAUACCAGCUGGCUGCAACUGUUUAUUAAAAACACAGCACUGUGCAAACACGAAAGUGGACGUAUACGGUGUGACGCCUGCCCGGUGCCGGAAGGUUAAUUGAUGGGGUCAGCGCAAGCGAAGCUCUUGAUCGAAGCCCCGGUAAACGGCGGCCGUAACUAUAACGGUCCUAAGGUAGCGAAAUUCCUUGUCGGGUAAGUUCCGACCUGCACGAAUGGCGUAAUGAUGGCCAGGCUGUCUCCACCCGAGACUCAGUGAAAUUGAACUCGCUGUGAAGAUGCAGUGUACCCGCGGCAAGACGGAAAGACCCCGUGAACCUUUACUAUAGCUUGACACUGAACAUUGAGCCUUGAUGUGUAGGAUAGGUGGGAGGCUUAGAAGUGUGGACGCCAGUCUGCAUGGAGCCGACCUUGAAAUACCACCCUUUAAUGUUUGAUGUUCUAACGUUGACCCGUAAUCCGGGUUGCGGACAGUGUCUGGUGGGUAGUUUGACUGGGGCGGUCUCCUCCUAAAGAGUAACGGAGGAGCACGAAGGUUGGCUAAUCCUGGUCGGACAUCAGGAGGUUAGUGCAAUGGCAUAAGCCAGCUUGACUGCGAGCGUGACGGCGCGAGCAGGUGCGAAAGCAGGUCAUAGUGAUCCGGUGGUUCUGAAUGGAAGGGCCAUCGCUCAACGGAUAAAAGGUACUCCGGGGAUAACAGGCUGAUACCGCCCAAGAGUUCAUAUCGACGGCGGUGUUUGGCACCUCGAUGUCGGCUCAUCACAUCCUGGGGCUGAAGUAGGUCCCAAGGGUAUGGCUGUUCGCCAUUUAAAGUGGUACGCGAGCUGGGUUUAGAACGUCGUGAGACAGUUCGGUCCCUAUCUGCCGUGGGCGCUGGAGAACUGAGGGGGGCUGCUCCUAGUACGAGAGGACCGGAGUGGACGCAUCACUGGUGUUCGGGUUGUCAUGCCAAUGGCACUGCCCGGUAGCUAAAUGCGGAAGAGAUAAGUGCUGAAAGCAUCUAAGCACGAAACUUGCCCCGAGAUGAGUUCUCCCUGACUCCUUGAGAGUCCUGAAGGAACGUUGAAGACGACGACGUUGAUAGGCCGGGUGUGUAAGCGCAGCGAUGCGUUGAGCUAACCGGUACUAAUGAACCGUGAGG